UCUACUGUCCUUGGAGGCCAGAAGAGGGCAACUGAUUCUCUGGAACUGAAGCAAAACAACUGUGGAACAGCGUUGUAGGCACUGAGAACUGAACACCAGUCCUUUGCAAAAGCACUCCUCCAUUUUGCCUGUAUACAGGUAGCAGCCCUGUGUCGGCAUCUACACAGUUCCCUCCAUCGCUGCUGGAUAAUGACAGCCGCAGCUCGUAACUCCAAGUAUCGUUGUCUCUCUAAGUGAGCACGCCAGGAAGCUUGGAGAAGGGAUGCUGCACUAGCCAUAAUCAAAGCAUCUUUCUUCACAGUCGCAUUUCUGACGUGCUUCUGAUUUAGGGUCUCUCUAUUGUAGCUCUGACUGUCCUGGAAUUCUACGUAGACAAGCUGGCAGGCUGGCCUUUAAAUCCCAAGGUGUUACCUGCUAUUACAUUCAAGUAAAAUGGUUCUGGUUACUAAAUGAAGUCCAAACUCACUCUUAAACAAAGAAUCCUAGUCUCAUCCCACCUGGAUAAUAACAGAUGCCUGUCUCAAAUGGAGGAACUGUUGCCUAGAGAGCAAGACCCUAAACCACCGCUGCAAUAGUACGAUUCUGCGAAGCACUUCCUGAUGAAGCAGAUCUUGUAAGUGCUGUCGUUCAUGCUCCUUUAGGAAAACCUAUGAGACGGAAGAAAAACAAGGGAUAAAGCUUAAGAAGAAAUGAAAACUAUUCAUGAAUUAUUGUUUCUGGGCUUCCCUGAAAGCAACCACAGCUCUGAAAAAAGCUCGGAGAACUGCCCAUCGGAAAACAGCUACAGGAUCAAUUCCAGUCAUCCCAGAGACAAAAGCAUUCCUGCUACUUCUCAGAAGAGCCACAAUGUCUGGACGCAUAUGAUCUGUAUUUUUUUCCCGAAAAUCCUAUGUGAAAAAAGUACCAAUGAUUUUGUGGAAAAGACUAUCAAAAUCAAGAAGAUAAUAAGUGACAGGUUUGAAUGAUCAAGAUGUGAGUGAGAACUCAGCAUCUGCUCCAGCCGUCAUGCCUGCUGCUUCCCCACCAUGAUGAACUCUUAACUCUCUGAAACUGUUAAGCCCAAAUAAGCUUUUUCCUCUAUAAGUUGCCUUGGUGAUGGUGUUUUAUUACCACACUAGAAAAGUAACUACCAUAUCUAGCAAUAGGCUCAAGAUUUUUGCUUAGUUUUACUUUGUAAAUUAUAUCUAAACUCUGCUUCUCACCUGUGUGUUCCCUCUCAGAUAUGGUACCUCCAAUAGACUCCAUUAUUUCCAGCCAUAAAUCAUUCACUUAGAACAUCUAUAAAGUAUGUGGAGAUCUCCACAGUAUACCUUGUAUAAGAUCUUCCUCAUUUCUAAAGCUACUCUUGUGAUUCAAUUUAAGAUUUUGCCUCAAUUUAAAGGAAGAAGGAUAGGAGGCAGAAGAGAAUCCAGUCUUGCCCUUUCUGCUGUCUGUAAAAACACUCUUCUGCUUAACGUAGUUUCACAAUUCCUAUAAUAAUUCCGACAAUACACACACACACACACACACACACACCCAAAAAAAAAAAACCCUAAAUUCCAAUGGUGAGGUUGGUGGUAAACAUCUGUAAUUAAAGCACUCAGAAGGCUGAAGCAGGUCUAUCACUUCACCAACACCAUGGGCUACACAGUAAGAAACUCCUGAACUCCAUUAAAAACAAAUAAAACUAUGCUCCUUCAAUGUGAUCUAGAAGCUCUUCAAGAUUUAACCUGCUGUCUGCUCUUGGAAUUCAUAUUAUGUCACUAUUCGUUAAUAGUUUCAUAUCGCCAGGCAGUGGUGGUGCCUGCCUUUAAUUCCAGCACUCGGGAGGCAGAGACAGGCAGAUCUCUGUGAGUUUGAGGCCAACCUGGUCUGCAAGAGCUAGUUCCAGGACAGGCUCCAAAGCUACAGAGAAACCCUGUCUUUAAAAAAAAACGUUCUUACUUUACAACAUGUAAUUCACUAUCUCAACUCAUCAGCACAACAUUUACUUUAGGUGCUCUCUUAAGUCAAAGUGUUUUAGAAAGGUACUUAUGAAUCUACAAAUUUAAAGGUACUUAUUUCAUUACAUUAACUCACAGAAAACAUUUAUUUACAGCACAUAGCUAGAAAUAAGUACAAAUAUGAUAUAUAUGAUAUGCAUAUGAAAUACAAAUAUGUCUGUCUAGUUUUAUCAUUUUAUCAUUGUAAACACUGAACAGAUAAUGUGGCACAUGUUAUUUAAUAAAUAAUGCUUUGGGGUU